UACGGAGGGAGCGAGCGUUGUUCGGAAUCACUGGGCGUAAAGCGUACGUAGGCGGUCAUGCAAGUCAGAAGUGAAAGCCCAGGGCUUAACCUUGGAACGGCUUUUGAAACUGCAAGACUAGAGUCCCGGAGAGGUUGGCGGAAUUCCGAGUGUAGAGGUGAAAUUCGCAGAUAUUCGGAGGAACACCAGUGGCGUAAGCGGCCAACUGGACGGGAACUGACGCUGAGGUACGAAAGCGUGGGGAGCAAACAGG
rnacentral:misc_RNA from 1 species